UGAUAAUAAAAGUAGGGAUCCCGGUGGCAGGGCAGUUAUGGUGAGGACCGACCUGCGCACGGGAGGCCAGGUCGUGUUCUCCCGCGGAUUAGGCUGUUAAGCGAUUCUGGCCAAACGCCAAGCCACCAUGGCUGCUCCACCUCCACGGAGAGGCAAGGACACCACUAGGACAGCAUGGCCAUCAUCCCUCUCCCUCCUCCUGCCGCUGGUUCUCGUCCUGCUGAUCACUCUAGUUCACUCGCGGCCGCAGGGGCUCACCUCCACAAUCUCCGGCCAAAAAGGUGAUGCAGGCUCUGAAUUUCGGGCAUGGCGGAGGGAUGCAAUCAGCUGGCCGGACAGGAUGACCGAUCUGGCGCCGCCCGCGCCCAAGCCCAACAGCAACGUCCCCGGCGGGCCCUUCGGUUGACGGAUCAAGAUCAGGUUUCAUUUGUGAUAUGCCCAAUGACCAUCUUUUGAAGAUCAGUAUAUCGUGCUACGAGGAUAGCAACUCGCAUGAUAUUCCUCCAUGUGUGUGUGCAUUUCUUUUUUUUUUUGGCUAUUUUGUUUCCUUGUAACGAACGAACUGGUGAAACUUAAGCAUGCAUGUCUGCAACGGAUCCUGUCGCUGCAAAAUACAACUUGCGUGGAGAAGAACAAUAUGCAUUUUCGA